GGGCAGGUAGCGAAGUGGUCAAACGCAUCAGACUGUAAAUCUGACGGCUUUACGCCUUCGGAGGUUCGAAUCCUUCCCUGCCCA
rnacentral:tRNA from 1 species